rnacentral:tRNA from 1 species
GGGAGUGUAGCUCAGCCUGGGAGAGCACUAGACUGAAGAUCUAGUUGUCCGGGGUUCAAAUCCCCGCACUCCCA